CUGGGAGUGAAAAAACACAGACAAAAACAUACAACAGAAACUCCAGCCCCGACAGUAAGUUUCCAGGCUGCCAGGAUGUUCUCGCUGUGAUGUGGAACCACCAGGAACUAAUCUGAGCAGACCUUCUGGAUCUCUUUGGUCCUGAACCUACUCCUUUCUUCUAUGGCCAACAGCCAUCUUUCUCCACAGAAACCAAACCUGACAUCAUUCUGAGCAGAACCAAAACCCAGAGUCUGCAAAGUCCCACAGAAAGACAGAACCCUGCGAUGGAUUGGCGACCUGCCCAGGCUGAACUCCGCCUCCUGCCCAUAGACUGCUGGAGAUAGGCACCAGCUCCCCCAUGACCCACUACGGAAGAAGCGGUAUAGAAGAUGAAUCAAUGAAUGAUAUCCUAUUUUAGUCAAUUAAAAGCAUGAUAAGAAGAACCUUAAAUGACUGGAACAUAUAAAUAUUACCAAUGACGUGGAUAUGAAGCUGAAACCAUCCAGAGAAAAGGAGAAGGUCAUGUUUCGUCCACCAUGAAGGAAGGAGCUGCAGUUCCUGUAUGUCUGAGAGGUCGAGGACAAGGAGGAGAAGGACACUUAAUUCCUGUCCCUAACACACACGCACACACACACAUUUCACGUCAGUCAGCAUUGAGCGCAGACACACUGCUCAUUUCCAAAACAAGCAGGGAAAAACGGGAGCAGGUCAAAGGUCGCAGACGGUGACGGAGUGAUGACAGGUGUUGGUUUCCUCUGUGGAAGAUCUUCACUCUCACUCUUCUUUCAUCUGUAAACCCCUCACUGUUCAUCCAGGGCUCAGGUCUUCAGCUUCUGCUUCCAAACAGUCAGAACCUCCUGAGAUGUUUUUCAAGGUUUUUAUCAAACGUUCUCCAAAGGAUUUUUUGGACUCUUUCUGCUGUUUCACUCAGUUUUAUCUGGGAAGCUGAAAACGUUUCCAGAUAAAGUUCAGCUUCGCUGCCUGAAAAAGGAUUCCUGUCUCGUUCUGACAUUCCAACAACAAACCUGAAUCUGUUUAUUGAGAUUCCAUGUUUCAGACCAACACAAACUAAAACAUAACUAGGACAUGAAACAAAUAAAAACAGGUUUUUAUGUUUCCAGCCCUCUUUACUCCAACUCACCUAAAUAAAGGAUCACUAACUGUUGCCUGCUCUCCUCCACAGGUAUGCAGUCA